CCAACAGGGAUUGCCUUAGUAACGGCGAGUGAAGCGGCAAAAGCUCAAAUUUGAAAUCUGGCACCUUCGGUGUCCGAGUUGUAAUUUGAAGAAGGUAACUUUGGAGUUGGCUCUUGUCUAUGUUCCUUGGAACAGGACGUCACAGAGGGUGAGAAUCCCGUGCGAUGAGAUGCCCAAUUCUAUGUAAAGUGCUUUCGAAGAGUCGAGUUGUUUGGGAAUGCAGCUCUAAGUGGGUGGUAAAUUCCAUCUAAAGCUAAAUAUUGGCGAGAGACCGAUAGCGAACAAGUACAGUGAUGGAAAGAUGAAAAGAACUUUGAAAAGAGAGUGAAAAAGUACGUGAAAUUGUUGAAAGGGAAGGGCUUGAGAUCAGACUUGGUAUUUUGCGAUCCUUUCCUUCUUGGUUGGGUUCCUCGCAGCUUACUGGGCCAGCAUCGGUUUGGAUGGUAGGAUAAUGACUAAGGAAUGUGGCUCUACUUCGGUGGAGUGUUAU
rnacentral:rRNA from 1 species